AGAGUUUGAUCCUGGCNNNNNNNNANCGCUGGCGGCGUGCUUAACACAUGCAAGUCGAGCGGAAAGGCCCUUCGGGGUACUCGAGCGGCGAACGGGUGAGUAACACGUGAGCAACCUGCCCUAGGCUUUGGGAUAACCCUCGGAAACGGGGGCUAAUACCGAAUAUGACCUGACAUCGCAUGGUGUUUGGUGGAAAGUUUUUCGGCCUGGGAUGGGCUCGCGGCCUAUCAGCUUGUUGGUGGGGUAAUGGCCUACCAAGGCGACGACGGGUAGCCGGCCUGAGAGGGCGACCGGCCACACUGGGACUGAGACACGGCCCAGACUCCUACGGGAGGCAGCAGUGGGGAAUAUUGCACAAUGGGCGGAAGCCUGAUGCAGCGACGCCGCGUGAGGGAUGACGGCCUUCGGGUUGUAAACCUCUUUCAGCAGGGACGAAGCGUAAGUGACGGUACCUGCAGAAGAAGCACCGGCCAACUACGUGCCAGCCGCCGCGGUAAUAC
rnacentral:rRNA from 1 species